rnacentral:lncRNA from 1 species
UUUGCUCAGCCUCAGACGGAGGUGUCUGCACCCCGUAUGCCUGAGAUACACCGGGCGCCCACUCCAGCUCCUACUUCUUCGGAUAGUGGGUCAUCUGGGGUACAGAUGCCGCCGCCUCACCUAUUCCUUCCGCAGAUGAUACCGGCCAUACCUGUAGUCGAUGACUCAGGGACGCCGAUUUAUCCACUGCCCCCGCCAGUGGCUCCAUCAGCGGCGUACCGGUUCGUGCCUUUUGAUACGCCUCUUAUUUCUGCGAGGGUAUCAUCAUCGGCGACAGAGACGGAAUCGGUCGCGUCCGCCGCGAGCGCCUCAGGUAAUCAGUGAUGCAUGAUUAUUUUUAAAGGGUCUCCGAUUUAAAUAAUCAAUUUGGUUUAUCAUGUGAUAGGCACCGUCGGAGCGAAGCUGACAAAGAAGAAGAGAGGCCCCGUCACAGGGAAGGCUCUCGAGAAGAUCGUGGGUACCGUGGGGAGGAUCGUCAUCAAUACUGACGGGGAUGGCCACAUAGUAUCGGGCGGGAAGUCGAGGACGUACUCCGGCCGCGUGGGAGCGCUCAUUAGGGAUAGAGUCCCUAUGUUGUGGUCAGACUGGGGCGAGGUCCCGCAGGAGGUUAAGAACAUGGUCCACAACGCGAUGUCGGUGAGUUUACAAAAUAAUAUUAUGUAUUACAUUGUUGAUUUCUAGAAAAACUAAACUAAUAAACGGUUAAAUACAGGUGUGGUUUGAGGUUCCCGAGCACCUUAAGGACAGCUGGGCCGACGUUGUGCAUGGGGGAAGGUACGUUGGGAAGUUAAUGAAAAACAAAAUUGUAUGUGAUAUUAAUAAUAUUUCUAAUAUUUUUGUUGUGUCUGUAGGUACAAGGAGUGGAAGAACGAGUUGCGGACCCAUUGGACUACACACGGGAACGCACGUUCUGGUACCCCUGCUGAGUUCCAGUACAGGGAGUACGAGUGGCGUUGUCUUCUGACAUCAGAAUUCAACAACCCUCGUAAACAGGUAUUUAAAAAAUUAAUUAGUUAAUUUGUCAUUAAGUACGUCCGUUUUUAAAUAUUUUACUAAUAAUUUAUUUUUUCUUUGAAUGCCGUUUCCCGAGCGAACUCUCAGAACCGGCAACGCAACACAAGAAACCAUCAUGGCGGUUCUAGACCGUUCGCUGUCUUCAUGGACGAGGCGGCCAGGGAACAUCCAGAGGUCAACCCGUACGUCUAUACGUACGAGAAGGCAUAUCCUGACUCCCAGGAGGAUAUUGUAAGUCAUUUUACGUUUUUAAAUUUUAAAUUUUAAAUUUAUAUAUAUGUGAAAAUGUUAAUUAAUUAUUUUUUUCCUAUCCAAUUAGGCGAAGGUGAGGGAGGCUAGUGACGAGGUGAUGAGUGCUAUAGUGAGGGAGACAUGGCCGGACACGCAGGAGGAAGAGAUGUCCGAAGCCAUGUCCCGGAUCGACACUUCGGAUCCGACGAUUGGGGCGAGGAUCAUGGGCACAGCCUU